rnacentral:misc_RNA from 1 species
GCGCAAAAAUUAAAUUUUUACGACACUGAUUUGUGUUUUUAUUUUAAAUAGUAGAAAUGUAUGUUAAUUAAGUCCUAUAUUACUGCGUUUUAUAAUUUUAUGAUUAAUUAGACUUAUUAAAUGUUGGUUGGAGACACUGAUAACUCUGAAUAUAUUCUUAUUGCAAAGCUUGACAAUGCAAAGAAUUUGUCCACUUUAUUGAAAGCAAUCCACUUUAGGGAGUCAGCCAUUAUUUUUGUAUCAGAAAAUGGUUUAAAAGUGACAGUUGAAGAGAGCAAAUUUCUUCAGGCUAGUGCUUUUAUUCAAUCUUCUAUUUUCCAAGAAUAUAUUUUUACAGAAGAGAGUGCUACUUUUAAAAUCAAUUUAAAUGUAUUGAUAGAAUGUCUCCAUAUAUUUGGUGGUUCAGAAAGUAGCUCACAUACUGCGUUGAAAAUGUGUUAUGCUGGUCAUGGCUUUCCUCUAAAGUUAUUAUUAGCUGAAGAUGGUGGCGUCCUAACAGAAUGUAGUAUAAAUACCCAAGAUCCAGAAGAAAUUGUUGAUUUUAAUUUUACUUCUUCUGAAGUUCGCAAUAAAAUUAUAAUGAAGAGUGCGGCAUUGAAAGAUGUUUUUCAAGAAUUAGAUAUGAGUUCAGAUGUGAUUCAAUUACUGCUUUCUCCAGCAUCACCAUACUUUCGAAUUUCAACAUUUGGAAACUCUGGGAGUAUUCACGUGGAUUAUCCCAGAGAUUCUGAAAUGAUUGAGACUUUUGAAUGUCAACAGACACAAAGUAGCAGGCAGAUACAAAACAUCAUUAAUGAAGCCUUCAAUAAAAGCUUUGUCUGUCUCAAGUAAAUUGUCAAUACGUAUGGAUAGUCGUGGUUUUUUGUCUCUACAGUACAUGAUUUUGAAUGAAGUUGGGCAAAUAUGCUUUGUAGAAUAUCUUUGUGCGCCUAAUGAAGAUUCUUGCGAGGAAGAAGUAGAUUUUUUUUAAACUAAAAAGCUGGCUGUAAGAUUUAUGAAAUGUUUUUAUAUAUAUUUAGUAUUUAUAUUUCUAUAAAUAUUUAUGUAUGUAUAUAUUUAUGUGAUAUUUCUGAGGAUUUAUUUUUCUGCGACUUGGUUUAUAUGUAAAAAUGCAGGUUUAUACAUGA